rnacentral:rRNA from 1 species
UUGGAGGGCAAGUCUGGUGCCAGCAGCCGCGGUAAUUCCAGCUCCAACAGCGUAUAUUAAAGUUGUUGCAGUUAAAAAGCUCGUAGUUGAAUUUCGGGGUUAGUAGGUUGGUCAUGCCACUGGUAUGUACUGGUCUCACUGAUUCCUCCUUCCUGAUGAGACGUAAUGCCAUUAAUUUGGUGUUGCGAGGAAUCUGGACUGUUACUUUGAAAAAAUUAGAGUGUUUAAAGCAGGCUAACGCUUGAAUACAUUAGCAUGGAAUAAUGAAAUAGGACGUUCGAUCUUAUUUUGUUGGUUUCUAGGAUUGACGUAAUGAUCAAUAGGGAUAGUUGGGGGCAUUAGUAUUCAAUUGUCAGAGGUGAAAUUCUUGGAUUUAUUGAAGACUAACUACUGCGAAAGCAUUUGCCAAGGAUGUUUUCAUUAAUCAAGAACGAAAGUUAGGGGAUCGAAGACGAUCAGAUACCGUCGUAGUCUUAACCAUAAACUAUGCCGACUAGGGAUCGGAUGAUGUUAAUUUUUUAAUGACUCAUUCGGCGCCUUACGGGAAACCAAAGUGUUUGGGUUC